rnacentral:rRNA from 1 species
ACACGGCGGCUCCGAGCGUUAUCCGGAUUUAUUGGGUUUAAAGGGUGCGCAGGCGGCCAUUUAAGUCAGCGGUUAAAUCGUGGGGCUCAACCCCAUUCUGCCGUUGAUACUGGGUGGCUUGAUUGCGGUCGAGGUUGGCGGAAUUCGUUGUGUCGCGGUGAAAUGCAUAGAUAUGACGAAGAACACCGAUUGCGUAGGCAGCUGACCAGACCGCAAAUGACGCUCAUGCACGAAAGUGCGGGGAUCGAACAGGAUUAGAUACCCUGGUAGUCCGCACAGUAAACGAUGAAUACUUGUUUUCGGCGAUAUAAUGUCGGAGGCAAAGCGAAAGCGAUAAGUAUUCCACCUGGGGAGUACGCCGGCAACGGUGAAACUUAAAGGAAUUGACGGGG